rnacentral:rRNA from 1 species
UACGGGGGGAGCAAGCGUUGUUCGGAUUUACUGGGCGUAAAGGGCGCGUAGGCGGCCUCUGCAAGUCAAUUGUGAAAUCUCCGGGCUUAACUCGGAAAGGUCAACUGAUACUGCAGGGCUAGAGUGCGGAAGGGGCAACUGGAAUUCUCGGUGUAGCGGUGAAAUGCGUAGAUAUCGAGAGGAACACCUGCGGCGAAGGCGGGUUGCUGGGCCGACACUGACGCUGAAGCGCGAAAGCCAGGGGAGCGAACGGG